GAUGAACGCUGGCGGCGUGCCUAACACAUGCAAGUCGUACGAGCUCGAUCUUCGGAACGGGUUAGUGGCGCACGGGUGAGUAACACGUAGGUGACCUACCCCAGAGUGGGGGAUAACUUCUCGAAAGAGAGGCUAAUACCGCAUACACUCGGUCAUUCAUUUGGCCGAGCAAAGCUCCGGCGCUUUGGGACGGGCCUGCGUCCGAUUAGCUAGUUGGUAGGGUAAUGGCUUACCAAGGCUUUGAUCGGUAGCUGGUCUGAGAGGACGAUCAGCCACACUGGCACUGACACACGGGCCAGACUCCUACGGGAGGCAGCAGUGAGGAAUUUUGGACAAUGGGGGCAACCCUGAUCCAGCCAUGCCGCGUGAGUGAAGAAGGCC
rnacentral:rRNA from 1 species